AGUUUGAUCCUGGCUCAGGACGAACGCUGGCGGCGUGCUUAACACAUGCAAGUCGAACGAUGAAGCCCUUCGGGGUGGAUUAGUGGCGAACGGGUGAGUAACACGUGGGCAAUCUGCCCUUCACUCUGGGACAAGCCCUGGAAACGGGGUCUAAUACCGGAUAACACCGGCUUCCGCAUGGGAGCUGGUUGAAAGCUCCGGCGGUGAAGGAUGAGCCCGCGGCCUAUCAGCUUGUUGGUGGGGUAAUGGCCUACCAAGGCGACGACGGGUAGCCGGCCUGAGAGGGCGACCGGCCACACUGGGACUGAGACACGGCCCAGACUCCUACGGGAGGCAGCAGUGGGGAAUAUUGCACAAUGGGCGAAAGCCUGAUGCAGCGACGCCGCGUGAGGGAUGACGGCCUUCGGGUUGUAAACCUCUUUCAGCAGGGAAGAAGCGAAAGUGA
rnacentral:rRNA from 1 species